UACAGAGGUGGCAAGCGUUGUUCGGAAUUAUUGGGCGUAAAGCGCGUGUAGGCGGCUUGGCAAGUCGGGUGUGAAAGCCCUCAGCUCAACUGAGGAAGUGCGCCCGAAACUGCUAAGCUUGAGUGCCAGAGAGGGUGGCGGAAUUCCCGAAGUAGAGGUGAAAUUCGUAGAUAUCGGGAGGAACACCGGUGGCGAAGGCGGCCACCUGGCUGGUAACUGACGCUGAGACGCGAAAGCGUGGGUAGCAAACAGG
rnacentral:rRNA from 1 species